rnacentral:rRNA from 1 species
AUGUCUNAGUAUAAGCAAUUAUACAGCGAAACUGCGAAUGGCUCAUUAUAUAAGUUAUCGUUUAUUUGAUAGUACCUUACUACUUGGAUAACCGUGGUAAUUCUAGAGCUAAUACAUGCUAAAAAUCCCGACUUCGGAAGGGAUGUAUUUAUUAGAUUAAAAACCAAUGCCCUCUGGGCUCCUUGGUGAUUCAUAAUAACUUUUCGAAUCGCAUGGCCUUGCGCCGGCGAUGGUUCAUUCAAAUUUCUUCCCUAUCAACUUUCGAUGUUUGGGUAUUGGCCAAACAUGGUCGCAACGGGUAACGGAGGGUUAGGGCUCGACCCCGGAGAAGGAGCCUGAGAAACGGCUACUACAUCCAAGGAAGGCAGCAGGCGCGCAAAUUACCCAAUCCCGAUUCGGGGAGGUAGUGACAAUAAAUACUGAUACAGGGCUCUUUUGGGUCUUGUAAUUGGAAUGAGUACAAUUUAAAUCCCUUAACGAGGAACAAUUGGAGGGCAAGUCUGGUGCCAGCAGCCGCGGUAAUUCCAGCUCCAAUAGCGUAUAUUAAAGUUGUUGUGGUUAAAAAGCUCGUAGUUGAACCUUGGGCCUGGCUGGCCGGUCCGCCUCACCGCGUGUACUGGUCCGGCCGGGCCUUUCCCUCUGUGGAACCUCAUGCCCUUCACUGGGUGUGGCGGGGAAACAGGACUUUUACUUUGAAAAAAUUAGAGUGCUCCAGGCAGGCCUAUGCUCGAAUACAUUAGCAUGGAAUAAUAAAAUAGGACGUGUGGUUCUAUUUUGUUGGUUUCUAGGACCGCCGUAAUGAUUAAUAGGGACAGUCGGGGGCAUCAGUAUUCAAUUGUCAGAGGUGAAAUUCUUGGAUUUAUUGAAGACUAACUACUGCGAAAGCAUUUGCCAAGGAUGUUUUCAUUAAUCAGGAACGAAAGUUAGGGGAUCGAAGACGAUCAGAUACCGUCGUAGUCUUAACCAUAAACUAUGCCGACUAGGGAUCGGACGAUGUUAUUUUUUGACGCGUUCGGCACCUUACGAGAAAUCAAAGUGCUUGGGCUCCAGGGGGAGUANNGNC